rnacentral:rRNA from 1 species
CGCGGUGCAUUAGCUAGUUGGUGAGGUAACGGCUCACCAAGGCCACGAUGCAUAGCCGACCUGAGAGGGUGAUCGGCCACAUUGGGACUGAGACACGGCCCAAACUCCUACGGGAGGCAGCAGUAGGGAAUCUUCGGCAAUGGACGAAAGUCUGACCGAGCAACGCCGCGUGAGUGAAGAAGGUUUUCGGAUCGUAAAACUCUGUUGUUAGAGAAGAACAAGGAUGAGAGUAACUGUUCAUCCCUUGACGGUAUCUAACCAGAAAGCCACGGCUAACUACGUGCCAGCAGCCGCGGUAAUACGUAGGUGGCAAGCGUUGUCCGGAUUUAUUGGGCGUAAAGCGAGCGCAGGCGGUUUCUUAAGUCUGAUGUGAAAGCCCCCGGCUCAACCGGGGAGGGUCAU